rnacentral:sRNA from 1 species
GAGCUGAGGGACGCGUCAGCCAGGCACCCCGGGGUGUGGCCAGAGGACUUCGGCGACGCUUCCCCGAGAGUAGCCCCCCUCCUCAACCCAGAAAAGACAACCCCGCGGGGCUGCAGCGAGCCAGGCAUGCUCACUGGCGCAGGCCCGGCCCGCAGCCCGAGCAGGAAGCGCCGGCGCUAGGCAGCCCCCUGCGCUGCCAGCUGGAGCCGGGCGGAGCCAGCGCCUCGGCGCAGGGUGGCUCUGCCAGUCCCCGCGCGCCUGGGCGGCCGCACACGUGUCCAGGCGUCACGUCCGCGCGCGCCCCCGGGGCUUGCGUCAGCGGCCGUUCCAGAAGCGGUGCCAGGCCGGGCACCUGGUGUGUAACCAAUGCCGCCAGAAGUUGAGCUGCUGCCCGACGUGCAGGGGCGCCCUGACGCCCAGCAUCAGGAACCUGGCUAUGGAGAAGGUGGCCU